CACUUCUUUUCGAUUUCCAGGAGGAGGAGAAGAAGAAAGAGUAUGGUUCUUACGGUGGUCUCUAAUUCGCUUGGUGCAGGUCGGGAACCGACUUCGCCGCUCCGGCAGCGCCGGAGGCACGCGGCGGCCUACGAUUGGUUGCUGAGCGAAUUCCGAUCCCGCCUUGCAUCAACUGAAUCGGAGACGGCGGUGAUGUGAUGAUGAAAGACUACUUCGAUCUCAGGUUUCUAGGUGCGGGGGCUCAACAAAUUUGUUGCAGGGCUAUGGAUGUGAAGCAGCUGAACAUCAUGUCGGUGGCCUGGGAGUUUUCAACCCUAACAAUUAUUGUCACAUGCCCAGGUUUCUUGGUAACCAGGAUUUCCUAGUUUGUUAGUAUGGACAAAUUGGCAUAGAUGUGAAACACUUGCACAUACCCUUGGUGAAUCCAUCUACUGUUUGAUCAUUUGACUCUAAACUCAAUUGUGGUGGGUGGCUAGAUUUUUAUGUUAUGGAAACUGUGCAUUCCUUGGACAAAAUCUAUUAAACUUGUUGUCAUGUAGUUUUGUCAAUGUGCUUAAUCCUUCUACCUGCCAACUCUUUAGCUUUCUCUGGCUUGUAAACGAAGUUGGGUUUAACACACUGCUGUUUUGAUUUCUUAGAAAUUUUUUUGAUUUGGAAUUCUCAUGGUUAUUAUUUGGUAUGAUCUUUAUCUUCCCCUGUCUCACUCUUCUCUUUUCUCUUUUUUUUUUUUCCCUCUUUUAUUCUGUAGAUCAUUGCAUGAUUGGCCCAUUCUCCUCUCUAUUGGCCGCUCAUUCUUAGCCAUUAUCCUGAUUUAUCAAAGAAACUCUUGGCAUGACUCUUCUCCGGUUUGGGCUGCUGCUAUGUUUGGAUUUAGUCAUGUUCUUCUUUUACUCCCCUCCCAAUAUUCUAAUAGAGAUGCAUGCUGAUAAAUGCCAGGAGAAGUUUAUAUCCAAUAUCUGUUUUGAGUUGUAGCAACUAUAGUUGUUAGUUGAUGUGUGGAAAACCGACUUGCUCUUGGUUUUGGGUUUUAGGUUAUCUGGAAGGAUUAUCUGUUGCAUGUUCUGAUAAUCCUUCUGACCUAUCCCAGUUCUAUGUUUGCAUAUUAUUCAAUUAUUUUUCUUUUAGUGUAAUUAAUCAGGAGAAGGAAUGUCUUAAUAUUAAUGGCUUAGAUACUAAGUAAUAAAAUUGUUAUGAUGGUAGGUUAAUUUGAUUAUAAGAAUAACACUAUCAUCUUUCUCUGCUGGGAAAGGAAUGAAAAGAAUUGAAUGGAUCCACCUUCCAUCUUGGUUGUGGAAUUAAAUGUUUUUCAAUUAUAGGAUUCAUCAACAUCAAAAUUAUGAAUUCUUUGUGCUCCACUGUUCUAGUAGGAAUGUUGUUUUCUUUUCCUUUUGGUUUUUUGGGGAAAUUAUUGUUGUAUUUUCUUUAGCUAUUUUUCUUCUGUUGCUAGUUGUGCGCAAAGAGAUGUUAUAAAAUAUGCCAAUAAGGAUAGUUUUCUUGUUUCCAACCCUAGCUUAGCCAUUCUUUUAAAGGGAGUUGAGUGUAAGUGGGCAAGAUUGUUCCUGGACCUGCCAACCUACCUGAGGUUAGUGGGGUUGGGUUGGCUGUUUUGCUAAAUGGGCUACUCCAAAAUAACCCAAAUCUUUGUUGUAGCCAAAUAAAGUAGCAUCUGUAUUGUUGUACUUAGAUACUAGAAGUAAUUGUAAUAGACAUUGUUAAUUAUGUUAGAAUGUUUUUAUUUUUUUAUUUUCCCCUUGUUUUCUGAUCCUAUAAAUGCCAGAUUUGGGCUGCAUGUUUUGCAGUCCAACAGGAAAUCGGGUGGAUCUAGAUGCCGGCUACAUCUGCCUGAACUUGGCUCCAUGCAGGUCUUUUCAUGUUUUAGUAUGAAUGAUUUCUUGUUCUUGUGGGAUUUUGUCAUCAGAGAGCUCACCUAAAAUUGACAUGCAGAAAUCAUGGAUGGAAAUGUCUUGAUUCUAUAAAUCAGUACUUUGGGCAAUAUGAUAUAUAUUCAUAAAACUAAUGGCUUUGCCUUUCAUAGCUCCUGACAAUCGGUGAUGUAGGGUCCUUUGUGUAGUUGCUUUAAGAUGUUUCUUUUACUUUGUUCUUAUCCAAGUAUGGAAAGAGAUGAGGUUGAGGUGGUGUCAGAAUUGGGGUUUGAAAAUCCUUAUGUUGUUCCAUUGUAGCAAAGGUGUACCAACAAAGCAGAUGAUUUGUCUCUUCAAUCAUUUAUGGGGUGUUCAUAUUCAUAGAA